GAUUGGAUCUAUAUACAUGCUUUGGAUCGUAUAGCGUUUAUCCAUCAGAUCCAUGGGUAAAUGAUAGAUAUUGUGUAGGCGUGGUGCUUAUACCGUAUUUAUCUUCCAUAUGCACUUCCCCUGAGAGAAGGUACGCCAUUAUUUUACUGACCCUAACUAUAUCGUUGAAGAAUCUAAGCAGGUGAGGAAACGACGCAACCGCAACCAGAUGAGGCAAAUCAUCAAGGACGGAUGGGCAGACUAUGAAGGAGAAGUUGUAAGGUCAGAAGACGUAGAGUUUAAAGAGAACUAUCCAGAGGAGACUGAAGCACCGAGUCAGGUAUGGAAAGAGAAGAUAAUUACAUAAAGAGGAGGCGCUGCCGGAAGUACCGACUCCGCCACCCAACGAACCUCAGGACAAUUGAGAAAAUGGAGAGUCCCAUUCGGAGUACUUAAAAACACCGAACGCCUUGCCAAGACGUAAACUUGGUAGUUAUCCUUUCCCUUUCAAUUAUUUAAAAUAGUUUGCUUAGUUACUUAUGUUCAUGCUAUCCUAAAAAGAAAAUAAAAAUGUGAAAAACAGUAAGCCCCAUGUGAGUAGACGAGUGGCAUAAAACCCAUAAGUACAUUCACUGUGGUGGCAUAAAAAUAAAAUAAAUAUUUCAUUUCUGCUUUAUAAAAUGAAAAUAUAAAAACAGGGAGUAAUAUUUAUUGAGGAGUCUCAACAUGAUAAAGGCUAGAUAUUUAUGCUAACACUUAAUCAGUUCCACAAGCUUUGUUGUCUAUUUGAGCUCCACAGAAUUCAAGAAUCAAGAAGACUAGCAGACGAAGGACAUUCUAAUCGCUGUCAGAAUGCUGCUGACUUUCAAAUACACCUCUGCCACCUGCUAGCUACAUCAAGAGAAAUUAUGUCAAAAUUCAGCUUGGGGGAGAGCACCCCCAUUUAUUCCGAUAAGUAUUUCUAUCUAUCUAUCUUUAUACUUAUACUAUAUUAAAAUAUAAAUAUACAUAAACUAGGAAAAACCAAAUAAAUAUUUUGUGCUUAUAUAUAUCUUUUGCUUAGUAUGUUUAAUAAAUAAAUAAAGUGGCUAUGCUAAUCUGUAUCUAAAUAAAACUCAAGCAUGGAUAUGAUGAAUAGUUGCUCUGCCUAAUUUGCAAAUUUUAAGUUCUCUCUCAAGUUUAGACAUAAUUGUUAUAAUUUAAAGCUUGCUCUAGACCUAAACUUGUGGGAUGAAAACUUGAUCUGAAGUCUAAGUUGUUAACGGAUAUGAUAUGGGAAGGUUGAGCUGUUGUUUAUCUGUUCCUAGAGAUGCUAGAAUUCUGGAGAAUUUUAUCUUUGAAAAUCUUUAAAAUGUUGCAUGAUGAGUUCCUGUAUGAUGAGAGUUUAAAUUCCUACCACAGCCAUAUAUACAUGCUUGCUAGACUUUGAGCCACACAUUUACUAUUUACUGCUUAUGAGCAUUGAGUGUGGUCAAGCUGUGUAGACCCUUAGGAGUUUGUCAUGUGGUUAAAUCAAGAUUUCACUUGCACGUUCACUCAUAUAUGCUACUUCUACUCCGGAAGUAUCAUUCACAUAUAUCCACCCAUUUCCAUCUCCAGAACCACCCAAAAAUAUUCUACUCCUAACCCGGGAGAGAAUAGACAAAAAUAUUUCUGUUUUUCCUUUAUGAAAUAAAUGCUCAAGUUAUCUUGUUACUACCGCUUGCUAUAUUAUCUCAAGAGAUGAGUGCUCUAAAAAAAAGAUACGAGGAAAUAAAAAGGAGCAAGUGCUCGGAACCUCGAAAGAAACGAAAAAAGUGAGACGAGAGGUAAAAAUGGACAAGUGUCCGACAGUAGAAUUAGGGGUACAAGAUACCCACGUGAGAGAAAAGAAAAAGAAGAGCAUCUCAUUCUCCUCAUAAAAAUUCAAAAAGCAAGGAAGGUAUGUAUCCCCUCAAAAGAGCAAAGUAGAAUUAGACUUUCACCAUUGUUAUCACCAUCAUCACCAUACACCAUUCAAUCGCCACACAUGCACAUCUUGAUUAAACUUAUUGACUUGUUUCUUUGGAUCCAUGGUUUGACUAUACAAUAAAUGUCUUGUAAGUAUGUAUACUUUAUCUCCCACCUAUGAGCUCUAGAUAUUAAAGCCUUAUUAGAGUAGGGUGAGAGAGAAGGCAAUGUCACUAUGCUUUAUACCACAAAUACUACAUAUCUUGAGAGAAGGCAUAUACCAUCACUGCCUUGGUAAGGAUCCAGAAAUACCACAAAAGAGAGAUAUGAGAGAAUCAUACAAGGAAUCUCUGAGUUUUAUUUGAAAAUCUACAAAAACUCUAGAGCUAUAGCUGAUCAAGAAUAAGAGACAUGGCACUUGGCUAGACUGUUCUAUCUUUUAACUACUCAAGACAGAAGUGACGGUUACAAGUCCCAUGGUGAAGGUAAAGUAAGUAAGUUUUAAGUCUUGACAGUUUACUCUAACUCAGAGAUGAGAUCUUAUUUUAAAAGCAUGUGUACUGUCAAUUUUUAAAGAUAUUGCAACAACUUCUAAUCCAUUGCUGAGUCUGUCCUUGCUCAGGGACGAGCAAGAGGUAAGCUUGGGGGAGUUUGUUGACGGUCCUUAAGUAUUAAAUUUAAUUAUUAAAUAAACAAAGAAAAGGAUCCAAAUGAAAUCAACAUCCAGACUUAGGGUUUUAUGUGACAGAAUUCCACAAGUUUUGGUGUUUGUCUAUUUCUGCAGGGGGUUAUCAGGAAAUACGGAAGAAAGGCCCACACGUCGGGAUUACAUAGAGAUAUUAACGUGCCGCGUAAUUAUCUUACAUCUAGAAGACUCCAGAAGCCAUGAGACCGAAGCGGAGGCGAUACGGGGCCAGAGGCGGGGUGCCCGCCCUCCUGCCCUGGGCGCCCACCCCCUCAGAGAGUCCAAUCAGGACUCUGCUUCGUGGGAGAUCUCCACCGACCUAAAGGAUCAAGGAUAACCGUUCAAUCUAAGUCGGUUUGAUCCAACGGCCCAUAUUCACUUGAAGGGACUAUAAAACCAGACCCCCUGGCCCCUGGAGGAGAGAGCCUCUCAACCCUAAUUCAUUAUUCUCAAGGGAGAAGAAGCUUCUGAUCAAGAUUAGAGCCACCACAUCAAUUAGAUAUCUAGAUUAGCAUAGCUACAUAGGAUUAGAACUAGAAGGAGUCAAUCUUUGAUUGGUUUCCGGAUCUGUCAAGAGGAUUCUUGGUAGUUCUCUAAUUGUUCUUCUAAUUAUCUUUGUUCUUCAAUAUUAUGAAUAUGACUUUGUUCUACUUCAAUAUAUUGCUUAUGACUUUGCUCUACUUGUUUAUAUUCAAGAUUAUAUUGUUCUUAGUUUAUCGUAGUUAUGUACUUGGCUUAGUUAGAUUGGAUCUAUAUACAUGCUUUGGAUCGUAUAGCGUUUAUCCAUCAGAUCCAUGGGUAAAUGAUAGAUAUUGUGUAGGCGUGGUGCUUAUACCGUAUUUAUCUUCCAUAUGCACUUCCCCUGAGAGAAGGUACGCCAUUAUUUUACUGACCCUAACUAUAUCGUUGAAGAAUCUAAGCAGGUGAGGAAACGACGCAACCGCAACCAGAUGAGGCAAAUCAUCAAGGACGGAUGGGCAGACUAUGAAGGAGAAGUUGUAAGGUCAGAAGACGUAGAGUUUAAAGAGAACUAUCCAGAGGAGACUGAAGCACCGAGUCAGGUAUGGAAAGAGAAGAUAAUUACAUAAAGAGGAGGCGCUGCCGGAAGUACCGACUCCGCCACCCAACGAACCUCAGGACAAUUGAGAAAAUGGAGAGUCCCAUUCGGAGGACUUAAAAACACCGAACGCCUUGCCAAGACGUAAACUUGGUAGUUAUCCUUUCCCUUUCAAUUAUUUAAAAUAGUUUGCUUAGUUACUUAUGUUCAUGCUAUCCUAAAAAGAAAAUAAAAAUGUAAAAAACAGUAAGCCCCAUGUGAGUAGACGAGUGGCAUAAAACCCAUAAGUACAUUCACUGUGGUGGCAUAAAAAUAAAAUAAAUAUUUCAUUUCUGCUUUAUAAAAUGAAAAUAUAAAAACAGGGAGUAAUAUUUAUUGAGGAGUCUCAACAUGAUAAAGGCUAGAUAUUUAUGCUAACACUUAAUCAGUUCCACAAGCUUUGUUGUCUAUUUGAGCUCCACAGAAUUCAAGAAUCAAGAAGACUAGC
rnacentral:lncRNA from 1 species